rnacentral:rRNA from 1 species
AUUGAACGCUGGCGGCAUGCCUUACACAUGCAAGUCGAACGGCAGCACGGACUUCGGUCUGGUGGCGAGUGGCGAACGGGUGAGUAAUACAUAGGAACGUGCCCAGCAAUGGGGGAUAACGCCGCGAAAGUUGUGCUAAUACCGCAUACGCCCUGAGGGGGAAAGUGGGGGAUCGCAAGACCACAUGUUAUUGGAGCGGCCGAUGGCUGAUUAGCUAGUUGGUGAGGUAAAGGCUCACCAAGGCGACGAUCAGUAGCUGGUCUGAGGGGACAACCAGCCAGACUGGGACUGGGAGACGGCCCAGACUCCUACGGGAGGCAGCAGUGGGGAAUUUUGGACAAUGGGCGAAAGCCUGAGCCAGCAAUGCCGCGUGUGCGAAGAAGGCCUUCGGGUUGUAAAGCACUUUUGUCAGGGAAGAAAGCUGUUUGGCUAAUACCCGAAGAGGAUGACGGUACCUGAAGAAUAAGCACCGGCUAACUACGUGCCAGCCGCCGCAGUAA